UUCGCGGUCACGACAUGGUAAAGGUGUAAGAAAAUCAAGUUUUGGGCCAAAGAUAUUUAUUAAACUGGCCCAAAACGUGGUUUUCUUACACCUUUACAACGCGAGAUUCUUUUUUUUUUUUUUAAAAAACUUUUACAAUGCGACGCAACAUGUUUUUGCACCAUGCAUCUAGCUUCAGAUUCACCUAAUAUCUGACUAGGGAGCCAAAUUUAUUGCAUUAGUAAGGUAAUGGAGAUUUAAUUAAGACUCCAUUUACUUAUUUCGUGACGCACUUCUAGUAUGCAGGAUGGCUUUAGGAAUGCAAGUCACCACUUCGUUUUGUAAAACUUUUCCUGAAAUGUAACACUAGACAACCGACAUGUUUCCGAUUGUAGUUCAGGUUACCAGGGAUUAACGAAUCAUGUAGUGGUGAGCUAAACGAGAAAUCAAUAUCGUAGUACUUAAUAUUUCUAUGAAAUGCAUGAGUAUCUUCUUAGGAACCAAGCAUCAAUGUCUGGCCCAAGCUGACAUAAUCAUGUGUAGUGGUAAAGUUGCUAAACUAAAUGGGGAAUCACUCCACUUUAUUUACAUUUUGGUGGUUUUAGUGGAUGUGGAGAAAGCUUCAAAAAGGUUUCAUCACCACUUUGUACGGAUCAAACAACCAUUUAUACCUAGCUACAUGAUGCCUUUUAGGCUAUAUCAUAUAUUGAUACCAAUUAUAGGAACUAAUAAACUUCAAUUGGACUCCCAUCACAUCUUUCAAGAUCUUCUCCCUAAUGAUUCUUAUAUCUCUGUGGAUUAUGAUUCUUCCACUUGCUUUUAUUCAAUCAAGAUAUGGACUGCAUUUUAUUCAUUUUUGUGUGACGAAUAUUUCAGGUUAAACAUAUGGCAUAUACCUCUAAACAUAUUGCAUUGCAAUUUUUUUUUCAAAUUAUUUGCUACUAAGCAACUUGCUUGUAGCAUCUAACCCUUUUAGUUAGUGGGAUGACUAUUGUCCAUUCAUUUUGAUCAAAUUCAGGUACUUCUUUGUCGCUACUCGGACAGAGAACUUGAAUAAUUUCUCUUUUCUAUUCAGAUAUUUAAUUUUUGUGCAUGUUUGAGUGUGUUGAUGUGGAAUAAAGAUGCUUACAUUUAUGGUUUUGACAUUUUAAUGGUCCUUGCUUUGCAUUUAGUAAUUUAUGACCUAGUGGAUUCUUGAAAUGCCUUUAUUAUAAUAUGCCAAUGGUGAAUAUCAUGUGUAUAUGUACAUAUACAAAUAUCAUAUAUAUGUUGACAUUUACUGCCUUAUGUAUGUAUAGAUGUUUUAAUGACCAUGGCUUGAUUUUCUUAUUAGCUGACCACGUAUUUAGCCUUCUGCCAUUGGGCUUGUUCGCUAGGCUUUCUUGUUGAUAUACAUCUUUUCAGUGUCGGCCCAAAGAUUUGAAAGGCUCGGGGCGAAACAUUAAUUAUGAGCCCUUAUUAAUAUAUAUAUAUAUAUAUAUAUAAAUAUAUUAAUGUUUUUUUGGAUGGGCCCGGGCACAAGCCCUUCUUGCCCUCUUAUCGGGUUGACCAACAUCUUUUGAGCUAGGCAUAAGAUGGAAGAAACAUUUUCCUUAUUCCAAGUCUUCAUAGAGACAAUUUGACAGGAAUUGGAAGUGGUCAUGGUUAAUGAUAAAAAGCUACCCUUAGAAAAACCACUCUUUUUUACCUGACUAUGGUGUAAAUUUUAGGACUAGAAAAGUUAAAUGUGUGUUGAUGCUGGAUUGAAAAAUGAUUUUUUUUUUUGUUAUUUUGUUGAGUUUACAAAUUUGCGGAGGAAUAAAUCUUUGAUCAAUUGACAUUUGUUUUCCAGGAAGGAAAAGAAUCAGCUGGUUGAACUUGUUCUGAUAUAGCAUUGGAAGAAAGGGGAUCUAGAAAUGUGAAAAUGAUAUCCACUCAAAAUGGUCUCCAAGAGGUCGACUAGCAAGGACAGGGCUGAGAAUUGAAGGGUGCGUGAUAAUAGAGUUUACGGGCGAUGCGACUGUGUAUUCCAAUACUCUGCAAUAUCGUACGACAUUUGACAAACACUGAUAUGCGGGUAAAUCUCCUCUCGAGUCAAAGGUUUCAUUGGGUGCAAUCUUCUUAUCUCCUUUGGCAGGAUUAUUGUAUGCCGUCUUCCAACCCUCCACAAGCUUUAAUCUUAACUUCUUUGAGCGGGAUCUUCAGAGCGUGAUGAUGAUGGUGGUAAAUCUUUUCAUAUGUAGUUUUAUGAGUCUUAUUCAUAACUUCAUAGUAUGGCUUAUGAGUUUUUUCUUAGCAGUUGCAACAAAAAUCUUGGGUAUCUCAUUUGUUCUUAUAUAUUGGUAUCGAAGUACUUCUUCUUCAGUUAUUGGGCAUCUUGUUUGUCCUUUGAAUUUUGUUGAAUAAGUCGGUCAAAUAAUUCCAAGUGACCUUACACAUCUCUAUACCACUAUUGGUAUAAUUGCUAUACCAUUAACCUCUCUACUUUUUUCAGGUUCAUUCAAAGCCGCUUUAACUUCUAGCUUCUUAAUUCUUUGCACAAAUUAUGUUUUUCUUAGGAAGUAAUGAAUAUCUCCUAAAAAAUCCUUACUCUUUUUAAAAUAACUCGUCAACGUACCCUCUAAUCAAGGGGUUCAAUCUCGUAUGAAGGGAGUAGUAAUUUGGUAAAAUUAAUUCAUAAUUAUCAACUAUUUACCAACAAAGAAAAGCUAGAGUUAACGUAAAAAACAAACAUUAACUUUUGUAAUUUUGACUGGAACGAUACGGACCAAACAUACUUUUGGCUUAUUUAUGUGGUUUGCCGUUUGGAUAAGGUCAUCAAAUAGUUAUGUAACUUGGAUGACUUUAAUUUUGUAUUUUCUUUUCUCUCGAAUAGAGAAAAGCAGUUGUUGGUGCAAGUUCUACUGGAACGGGUGGGGGACCCGAUAAAAUGACACCAUUUUUAAACGAGUUAACCAAAAUUGACUGCCCCUUAUAUCGAGUGGAGCGCCGAAUAUGAUUUUGAGAAGGAUGGUCAUGGAUCUGCUUCCAUUUUUAGGGUCUGAACAUAUAAUAUUUUGACUCUGAUCUGAGUUUGAUUUUGAAUCUAAAAAAAAUAAAUGGAUUUAAGUUUAGGGUUUUCAGAUUCAAAUAUAGACUCAAACCUAACUUAGACCCUCUAUCUAAAUUCAUUUAAAAUUCAAACUCGAUAGUCCCAUCUUAGGCCUGUGUACCGCCAUACCCACACUAGACUUGAUCUACUAUACAAUUUAAAAUUAAUUUUAAGUUUAUAUUUGUUUGAACUCAAUUUAGAUUAAUAUACAACUUAUAGAUUCAUUUUAAUAUUUUUUUGAGCUCAUAUUUGUUUGAACUCAAUUUAGAUUAAUAUAUAACUUAUAGACUCAUUUUAAUACUAAUAAAAUCUUUAAAAUGUAAAAAAGCAUUAUUAUUAGUAAUUAAAUCAAAACUCAUUUAAGAUUUGUUUAGUGCUCUAAACCCAUCUGACCCGAAGAGUUUUGGUUUAGGUCUAAAAUUUUUGGAUCGUAAGGAUCCAAGUCUAGGUAUGGGUCCACUAAACAUUCAUGGAUAUAGGUUUUGAAUUCAAAUGGGCUCGACCUAGAUCCUGUCCAUCAUCAUUCAUAAUUAUGAGGAAUCAAUUAUGUUCUCACUUCGCACGGUGAAAAUUAUAAGUAAUAGUUUGUUGAUAAUUUCAAUGAUCUCGGACCGGGUUAAUAGACAAGAAAACUUGUCGAGCGCUCGACACACAUUUUGACGGACCAUAUAUAGUAACAGUCGCACCAUGGUGGGCCAUAUACAACAGCAGUCGUACAAUGUCGUGUUUAGUUGCACGCCAUAAGCUUAUUAUGAUUUAUGACUAUGUAGCCUGCCUGUCGGCUUGCCUAACCCAUGUCAUCAUUUAUUGAUUACUUUCUCCGUUUCAAAUUAGUUGCAAUAUUGGCAAAAAUGG